AAAAGAUCAUUCAUUGUGUAACAAUGUGCAUUGGAAUUGCAAACAGACGAAGAUCGUCAAAGAACUGCUAGGAUGCUGUCCUGCAAAACUUGGCGAAGACCAACAACGGCGUGGAGGCCUGUCAUCCAACAUUUUUGGUGAAUCUUGGCGCUACCCACCCCACCAUUUGGAAGUUCAUCGAGGCAUUGCAAUGACAGCGUCAAAGAGGUGAAAUGAGAAUGGAGCUGCAACUCCAAAAUCUAAAUGAGAAAAAUGAGCACCUAGCCUACUUAGACACUUCUUCAUGACACAUCAAUUUCAACCCUUUCAAUGACUCCAAAAUCCUUAUGAGACCAGAACAUUAAGCACAUUCUUGGUAGAUUUGUUCCUGAACAUGUUUUUAACAUGCUGCAUUGAUAUGUAGCCUACUCAUAAUUUGUGUAUGUAUUUUAUUGUUAUUUGAAGUAGAUGUUUUAGUCCUACUUAUUUUUGGCCCAUCAUUUUUUGUAGUUUGCUAAGCUUUUUUGUUUAUAAAUAAAAGGUUUUAUAGUGAA